rnacentral:ncRNA from 2 species
CCGUUCUCAUUGGGGUGCAACAAGCGGUUGUUUUUGCGUAAAAAUUUGCAAAUUUUUGCCGAAAUUUAACCGCUUGUGGCUGAGAAAUACCCAUAGAACCUGAUCUGAUUAAUAUCAGCGUAGGGAUUUGAGAUAGCAACUUGC